rnacentral:miRNA from 1 species
AUAUUGUCCCGUCACAGCAGUA